rnacentral:rRNA from 1 species
CAGUCGCCGCGGUAAUACGAAGGGUGCAAGCGUCAAUCGGAAUUACUGGGCGUAAAGCGUGCGUAGGCGGUUUGUUAAGUCUGCUGUGAAAUCCCCGGGCUCAACCUGGGAAUGGCAGUGGAUACUGGCAAGCUAGAGUGUGUCAGAGGAUGGUGGAAUUCCCGGUGUAGCGGUGAAAUGCGUAGAGAUCGGGAGGAACAUCAGUGGCGAAGGCGGCCAUCUGGGACAACACUGACGCUGAGGCACGAAAGCGUGGGGAGCAAACAGGAUUAGAUACCCCCGUAGUCCCUGUCUCUUAUAC